GACGAACGCUGGCGGCGUGCUUAACACAUGCAAGUCGAACGGAAAGGCCCCUUUGGGGGUACUCGAGUGGCGAACGGGUGAGUAACACGUGAGUAACCUGCCCUUGACUUCGGGAUAACUUCAGGAAACUGGGGCUAAUACCGGAUAGGAAUCCUUGCUGCAUGGUGGGGGUUGGAAAGCUUCGGCGGUUUUGGAUGGACUCGCGGCUUAUCAGCUUGUUGGUGGGGUAGUGGCUUACCAAGGCUUUGACGGGUAGCCGGCCUGAGAGGGCGACCGGCCACACUGGGACUGAGAUGCGGCCCAGACUCCUACGGGAGGCAGCAGUGGGGAAUAUUGCACAAUGGGCGGCAGCCUGAUGCAGCAACGCCGCGUGCGGGAUGACGGCCUUCGGGUUGUAAACCGCUUUCAGCAGGGGCGAAGCUUGUGGUGACGGUACCUGCAGAAGAAGCACCGGCUAACUACGUG
rnacentral:rRNA from 1 species